AUUGAACGCUGGCGGCAGGCCUAACACAUGCAAGUCGAACGAGUGGCGGACGGGUGAGUAAUGUCUGGGAAACUGCCCGAUGGAGGGGGAUAACUACUGGAAACGGUAGCUACUACCGCAUCCCAUCGGAUAUGCCCAGAUGGGAUUAGCUUGUAGGUGAGGUAACGGCUCCCCUAGGAGACGAUCCCUCGCUGGUCUGUGAGGAUGAUCAGUCACACUGGAACUGAUACACGGUCCAUACCCGUACGGGAGGCAGCAGUGGGGAAUAUUGGAAAAUGGUCGAAAGCCUGAUGCAGCCAUGGCGCGUGUGUGAAGAAGGUCUUCGUAUUGUAAAGCACUUUAAGUUGGGAGGCGUUACCAACAGAAUAAGCACCUGCUAACUUCGUGCCAGCCGCCGCGGUAAUUC
rnacentral:rRNA from 1 species